rnacentral:rRNA from 1 species
GAGUUUGAUCCUGGCUCAGGACGAACGCUGGCGGCGUGCCUAAUGCAUGCAAGUCGCACGGGGUCUUCGGACCCAGUGGCGCACGGCUGAGGAGCACGUGGCUGACCCACCCCGGCGUGGGGGAUAACGGGCCGAAAGGCUCGCUAAUCCCGCAUACGAUCACACUUCCGUGUGAGGAAAGCUUCGGCGCGCUGGGCGGGGGCCGCGUCCCAUUAGCUUGUUGGUGUGGUAACGGCGCACCAAGGCGAUGAUGGGUUCCGGGUCUGAGAGGACGACCCGGCAGACUGGGACUGAGACACGGCCCAGACUCCUACGGGGGGCAGCAGCAAGGAAUUUUCGGCAAUGGGCGCAAGCCUGACCGAGCAACGCCGCGUGGAGGAUGACGGCUUUCGGGUUGUAAACUCCUUUUGGGUGGGACGAUAGUGACGGUACCACCCGAAUCAGACCCGGCUAACUACGUGCCAGCAGCCGCGGUAAUACGUAGGGGUCGAGCGUUGUCCGGACUUACUGGGCGUAAAGCGUGGGUAGGUGGUCGGUGAUGUGCCGUGUGAAAGCGCCGCGCUUCUCGCGGCGAGGUCGCGGUAGACACACCGACUGGAGGCACGGAGGGGGGCGUAGAAUUCCCGGUGUAGUGGUGAAAUGCGUAGAUAUCGGGAGGAAUACCAGUGGCGCAAGCGGCGCCCUGGCCGUGACCUGACACUGAGCCACGACGGCGUGGGGAGCAAACGGGAUUAGAUACCCCGGUAGUCCACGCAGUAAACGAUGCAUACCCGGUGUUGGGCUGGCGUCAAGCCAGUUCA